GAGCGAGCGGCUCCCCCAGGGCUGCGGAGGGCGGGCAGCCUCUCGGCGUGUUUCUCUUCCUCCUCGCCGUGUGAGCCCGCGUCCCGUGCUGCUCGGCGGGGCAGCCGCGGCGGCUCGGCGGAGGAGGAGCGGCGCUGCGGGACACCUGGGGCAGGUGGCAGCGUACGUCAGAUGCUGUGUUUGAAGUAAAGCUGAUUGAGAUACUAUGAAGACACUGGGAAAGUAAUGAAUUCUUGCAGAGAAACUGGAGUUUUCCCCCUCUUCAGUGGAAGCAGAUUGAGUCUCAGUUCCCGGAGCUGCGGAGGGCAGAGCUGGACUUUGUGUGUGUGUGACAAAUGUUUCCUGAGGGCCAGUGCUCACCAACUUGCAGAAGAGCUGGUUAGCCAAGACCCUGCUGUGCUGUGGCUGGGAUGGAGAUCAGCUCCAGCUCUUUCCCCAAGGGUUCAGACCUGUGUUUCCUGCUGCAAGAAGCAGGCUGCCAAGGUAGAGGCUGUUGAGCAGGACUCAUGUUCCCUUUCUUCAGUAAAUGGAUGUCUUGGUGCAGAGGG